UACAGAGGGUGCGAGCGUUAAUCGGAAUUACUGGGCGUAAAGCGCACGUAGGCGGCUUGGUAUGUCGGGUGUGAAAUCCCCGGGCUCAACCUGGGAACUGCAUUUGUGACUGCAUCGCUGGAGUGCGGCAGAGGGGGAUGGAAUUCCGCGUGUAGCAGUGAAAUGCGUAGAUAUGCGGAGGAACACCGAUGGCGAAGGCAAUCCCCUGGGCCUGCACUGACGCUCAUGCACGAAAGCGUGGGGAGCAAACAGG
rnacentral:rRNA from 1 species